rnacentral:rRNA from 1 species
AGAGUUUGAUCCUGGCUCAGAUUGAACGCUGGCGGCAUGCUUUACACAUGCAAGUCGAACGGCAGCACGGGGGCAACCCUGGUGGCGAGUGGCGAACGGGUGAGUAAUGCAUCGGAACGUAUCUUCGAGUGGGGGAUAACGCACCGAAAGGUGUGCUAAUACCACAUAAUCUCUACGGAGAAAAGCAGGGGAUCGCAAGACCUUGCGCUCUUGGAGCGGCCGAUGUCUGAUUAGCUAGUUGGUGAGGUAAAGGCUUACCAAGGCGACGAUCAGUAGCUGGUCUGAGAGGACGACCAGCCACACUGGGACUGAGACACGGCCCAGACUCCUACGGGAGGCAGCAGUGGGGAAUUUUGGACAAUGGGGGAAACCCUGAUCCAGCCAUGCCGCGUGAGUGAAGAAGGCCUUCGGGUUGUAAAGCUCUUUCAGCCGGAACGAAACGGUCACGGCUAAUACCUGUGAUCACUGACGGUACCGGAAGAAGAAGCACCGGCUAACUACGUGCCAGCAGCCGCGGUA